AGUGAACGCUGGCGGUAGGCCUAACACAUGCAAGUCGAACGGCAGCACAGUAAGAGCUUGCUCUUACGGGUGGCGAGUGGCGGACGGGUGCGGAAUACAUCGGAAUCUACUUUUUCGUGGGGGAUAACGUAGGGAAACUUACGCUAAUACCGCAUACGACCUACGGGUGAAAGCAGGGGAUCUUCCGACCUUGCGCGAUUGAAUGAGCCGAUGUCGGAUUAGCUAGUUGGCGGGGUAAAGGCCCACCAAGGCGACGAUCCGUAGCUGGUCUGAGAGGAUGAUCAGCCACACUGGAACUGAGACACGGUCCAGACUCCUACGGGAGGCAGCAGUGGGGAAUAUUGGACAAUGGGCGCAAGCCUGAUCCAGCCAUACCGCGUGGGUGAAGAAGGCCUUCGGGUUGUAAAGCCCUUUUGUUGGGAAAGAAAAGCAGCAGGUUAAUACCCCGCUGUUCUGACGGUACCCAAAGAAUAAGCACCGGCUAACUUCGUG
rnacentral:rRNA from 1 species